rnacentral:rRNA from 1 species
UACGUAGGUGACAAGCGUUGUCCGGAUUUACUGGGCGUAAAGAGCGCGCAGGCGGUCGAUCAAGUCGAGUGUGAAAGCCCCCGGCUCAACUGGGGAGGGUCAUUCGAUACUGAUCGACUCGAAGGCAGGAGAGGGUAGUGGAAUUCCCGGUGUAGUGGUGAAAUGCGUAGAUAUCGGGAGGAACACCAGUGGCGAAGGCGACUACCCGGCCUGUUCUUGACGCUGAGGCGCGAAAGCUAGGGGAGCAAACGGG